rnacentral:tRNA from 1 species
AAUAGAAGCCAAAAAGAGGCUAUUCACUGUUAAUGAAAAAAUUGAAUUUUCCUAUU